GUUGAUUCCCUUUAUAUAUUUAAAUGUUUCUAUCAUAUCCCCCCUGUCUCGUGUAGGGUGCUAUACUCAGGGACGAACUUUCUAUAAUACCCUGCUGUGCCUAGGAAGGCCAAUACCUGCGUCUUGGUGCGGGGCUCUGGCCAAUUGGCUAUGGCCUCUACUUUAGCUGGUUCGGGGCGCUGUUUCCCAGACCCUACUCUAUGCCCUAGGUAUUGGACCUCUGCUAUACCCACAUUUCAUUUCUCGGGUUUCAGGGUGAGGCCGGCUUCUUGUAACUUCCCAAAUACCGUAGCCAAGUGCGACAGGUGUGCCUACCAUGUGCCGCUAUAGAUGGCAAUAUCAUCUAGAUAGGCACAUGCGAAGUCCUGCAUUCCUUCCAGAAGUCGGUCCGCCAUCCUUUGGAACGCAACUGGGGCAUUCUUCAUCCCAAACGGCAUAACCCGAAAUUGGUAUAGCCCGAAUGGGGUGACGAAUGGCGACUUAGGGAUGGCGACCGGGUCUAGCGGAAUUUGCCAGUAUCCUUUGCACAAGUCCAGGGUAGUUAGGAAGUGCCCGCUGGCCAUGCGAUCGAGCAAUUCGUAGAUCUGUGGCAUGGGGUAUGCGUCAGCGAUAGUCCGGUCGUUCAGUUUCCGGUAAUCAAUACAGAAGCGAGUCGUACCGUCUUGCUUCGGUAUUAAAACCACCGGAGACGCCCAGGGACUUUGGGAAGCCUCAAUAAUCCCUAAUUCUAACAUUUCUUGGAUUUCUUUCCACAUGCUAGUCUGUACUGCUGCCGGGAUACGGUACGACUGUUGCCGUAAUGGGGUCUCCCCCUGCGUCUCUACCCGGUGCACUGCGGAAGUACGGUUUCAACAUGUUCACAUGAAAGGCUCGUCUGAUCUUUUCAUCUGAACAUUUGGCUACAAUAUAGGUGGUGUCGCUAAUACGUUCUACCACUUUAAAUAGCCCCUGCCAAGCUGUCAGAGCUUGUCCUUUUUGGACAGUAUGAGGGCUAGUACCUUUUGCCCUACCUCCAGGUUCCUAUCUCGUGCUCCCCAGUCAUACCAUUGUUUCUGACUUUUCUGGGCCACAUGCAGGUUCUCCCAAACUGAUUCGGUCAGGGCUUGUAAGCGGUCCCGGAACUCCAGCACGUAUGGCAAAACUGGGAUCCCUUCCUCUCCUGUGUUGCCCUCCCAGUGCUCCCGUAUAAGGUCC